GUCUUUUUGAAUUUAAUUUAAAGUCUAACCUGCCCACUGAAAUUUUAAAUGGCCGCAGUAUUUUAACUGUGCAAAGGUAGCAUAAUCAUUAGUCUUUUAAUUGAAGGCUGGAAUGAAUGGUUGGACGAAAUAUUAACUGUUUCAUUUAAAAUUUUUAUAGAAUUUUAUUUUUUAGUCAAAAAGCUAAAAUUUAUUUAAAAGACGAGAAGACCCUAUAAAUCUUUAUAUUUUAUUUAUAUUAAUUGUAAAGAUUAAUUUUAUUAUAAUAAAUAAAAAUAUUUUAUUGGGGUGAUAAUAAAAUUUAAAAAACUUUUAAUUUUAAUUCCAUUAAUUUAUGAAUAUAUGAUCCAUUAAUAGUGAUUAAAAAUUUAAGUUACUUUAGGGAUAACAGCGUAAUUUUUUUGGAGAGUUCAUAUCGAUAAAAAAGAUUGCGACCUCGACGUUGGAUUAAGAUAUAAAUUUGGGUGUAGCCGCUCGCAUUUUAAGUCUGUUCGACUUUUAAAUUCUU
rnacentral:rRNA from 1 species